rnacentral:tRNA from 1 species
AUCCUUUUAGAGUAUGAUAAUACACCAAGUUUCGACCUUGGGCAAAAAGAUAUAUUUCUUUUAUAAGAUUA